UUGACCUCAGAUCAGAUAAAGAUCUU
rnacentral:rRNA from 1 species